UGACACUGAGCUAUGCUGUGAGGUCCUA
rnacentral:piRNA from 1 species